GUGAUGAGACACUGGUAUAACAUGGAAGUGAGAUGUAGGGGUACAUCGUCACUGAACAUGACCAACUACAGAGCACUCUACUGUCAAGGGUAGCUCACGAAGGGUAUGGGUAUAAGUGUCCCUCCGACCUGAGAUCAUCACGGUGAUUUGAAAGUAAUUCACUGUAUUUUGAUGUCAGACUAACUGAGUUUCUAAUUCAGUGACGAAAGAUUUUUGGAUGCAGUCAAAUACUUAUUAAGUUAGUGCGUGAGUCAAGAUGGGAUUGACCUCUUCGAAUUAGUAGGAGAUAUGCAUCAGUGUAUUUCAAUUUAGCAAAAUUUGGGCUCGGAUAAUCCAUGUGAUGGAUUUGAAAAAGAUUGAAAUACAAUAUAGAUGACUUAUCUAGAAUUGACAGUUAAAUCCUAGAUCAUGCUCGAGCAUUAGGGUCAAAGGGAUG
rnacentral:lncRNA from 1 species